GGCAACAGUGGGGAAUAUUGGACAAUGGGCGCAAGCCUGAUGCAGCCAUGCCGCGUGUGUGAAGAAGGCCUUCGGGUUGUAAAGCACUUUCAGUAGUGAGGAAGGUGGUGUGGUUAAUAGCUGCAUUAUUUGACGUUAGCUACAGAAGAAGCACCGGCUAACUCCGUGCCAGCAGCCGCGGUAAUACGGAGGGUGCGAGCGUUAAUCGGAAUUACUGGGCGUAAAGCGCAUGCAGGUGGUUUGUUAAGUCAGAUGUGAAAGCCCGGGGCUCAACCUCGGAAUUGCAUUUGAAACUGGCAGACUAGAGUACUGUAGAGGGGGGUAGAAUUUCAGGUGUAGCGGUG
rnacentral:rRNA from 1 species